rnacentral:rRNA from 1 species
UACGUAGGGAGCAAGCGUUGUUCGGAUUUACUGGGCGUAAAGGGCGCGUAGGCGGCAAUUCAAGUCAUCUGUGAAAUCUCCGGGCUUAACUCGGAACGGUCAGAUGAUACUGCUUUGCUAGAGUGCGGAAGGGGCAAUCGGAAUUCUCGGUGUAGCGGUGAAAUGCGUAGAUAUCGAGAGGAACACCAGAGGUGAAGACGGGUUGCUGGGCCGACACUGACGCUGAGGCGCGAAAGCCAGGGGAGCAAACGGG